UACGGAGGGUGCAAGCGUUGUUCGGAAUCAUUGGGCGUAAAGCGCGUGUAGGCGGCUUGGCAAGUCGGUUGUGAAAGCCCGGGGCCCAACCCCAGAAUUGCAUCUGAUACUGCCUCGCUAGAGUCCCGGAGAGGAAGGCAGAAUUCCCGGUGUAGGGGUGAAAUGCGCAGAUAUCAGGAGGAACACCGGUGGCGAAGGCGGUGGUCUGGGCCGGCACUGACGCUGAGGAGCGAAAGCGUGGGGAGCAAACAGG
rnacentral:rRNA from 1 species